AGCGAACGCUGGCGGCAGGCCUAUCACAUGCAAGUCGAGCGCCGUAGCAAUACGGAGCGGCAGACGGGAGAGUAACACGUGGGAACGUGCCCUUUGGUUCGGAAUAACUCAGGGAAACUUGAGCUAAUACCGGAUAAGCCCUUACGGGGAAAGAUUUGUUGCCAUUGGAGCGGCCCGCGUCGGAUUAGCUAGUUGGUGAGGUAAUGGCUCACCAAGGCGACGAUCCGUAGCUGGUCUGAGAGGAUGACCAGCCUCACUGGGACUGAGACACGGCCCAGACUCCUACGGGAGGCAGCAGUGGGGAAUAUUGGACAAUGGGCGCAAGCCUGAUCCAGCCAUGCCGCGUGGAUGAUGAAGGCCCUAGGGUUGUAAAGUCCUUUUAACGGGGAAGAUAAUGACGGUACCCGUAGAAUAAGCCCCGGCUAACUUCGUGCCAGCCGCCGCCGUAA
rnacentral:rRNA from 1 species